CAGCGAUAACGAUGGGGUGGCGGACGACAUUGCGAUGGAUGAUAUUAGUGAGGAGAGCUAAGUCAAGAAAGCCCUUCGCCUCAGUGAGUCUCUGCGAUGCGAGACUCCUCCGCGUUUUGAAGGAGGUUGAAAAGGGGUAAAAUAUAUUGAGGGGACCAUUGGACUUGACAACGGUAAUUUAUUUCUCUGCGCUUUUUUUUUUUUUUUUUGCGUAGUAUAAUCUCUAUAUCCGCCAUUGAAUUUGCCAGUUUAAAGUUUGUCCAUCCAACACAGCGAAGGGUUCUAGAAAUUUAUCCCCGGAUGUCCUGAGCGAGUCUGGGUCCUUGUAAACUCCAAAACGGAUGUUUCGGCACCUGAUAUAACCUAGAAACAUAUAUUCCUCAAUCAUGCUCGUUGGAAUUUCAUACUCGUAGAUGCCUUCGGAACAGUAUUCCCCAAAUCCACAUAAUUAAUAUUCUAUCCGCGUAUUCAAUUAGCUUUUAUCUACCAAAAUAUAUAUUCACACACUCGUAUAUAUUUACAGGAAAUAUUU
rnacentral:sRNA from 1 species